GUUAAAGUGUAUUAAAUUUAUUUUUUUUAAAUAAUAAAAUGUCGAAUUUAGUGUCAGAGAAAAGUUAUACUGAAUUGGAUUAUGACGACUUUGAGUGCAGUGCACUUUUUUUCAAAGUGGAAUAUAAAGGAAAAUUUUAUCAAGUCGAAUGCUCUGAGUCUCAGUACCAAAAAGCAACCAAAGAUCUCCAAUACAUGAAGAAGUUAAUAAUUUAUAAAAAAGCUCUAAAAUUAAUUGAACAAGGUAGCCGGAUCGAAGUUGUGCCGUAUUCUGAAAAGGAGUUUGAAAAAUUAAUUAAAUUACAAAAUGG